rnacentral:sRNA from 1 species
UAUAUAUCGAUGGUGCAUUAUUCUAGUCAUACUAUCUUUACGAGGGUGGGGCUAAAAAUCCACUAAAGGGCACAUCGUUGAAGUUUCUUAAGGUUGCGCGAAAUGCCAGUUUUGUGUGGCUUUAGGGAGUAAAGAGAUUAGGGGAAUAUGUAAUGGCAUACAUAUAGCUUCCUAAUUUCGUGGAGACUUAUAGUUAUAUAAAUAUUAAUCUUUUAUAUAAUUUAAGUGUAACCUAUGUUGAGUGCCAAGACACAAAAUACAUAGAGUAGCCUGUCUCGAGUGAAUAUACUGGGAUUAAUCGCAAAUAGAGUAAAAUUAAUUUUGGCCAAUUUAAUUUUAUUUUAGAUUAUGAAAUUAUAUUUGCAAAAAAGACUAGUAAAGAGUAAAAGUAUGUUAAGGAAAACUUCUAGAAUGUUUGCUUUUUAGCAUAGAAGUCUAGGGAUUAAGGUACAGAUUUAAGUGGCGAUCUGGUGUCUAGUGAAAUAUAUAGAUAUUUUCCUUAAUCGGAAACGGCUAUAACAGUAAUGUUAAGCGGAAAAUAGAGAAAUUCAACCAGACCUAAACUGUAAAAUUUACUUAGGCUUUUACCAUUAAAAUA